UGGGGAAUUUUGGACAAUGGGCGAAAGCCUGAUCCAGCAAUGCCGCGUGUGUGAAGAAGGCCUUCGGGUUGUAAAGCACUUUUGUCCGGAAAGAAAUCCUUGGCUCUAAUACAGUCGGGGGAUGACGGUACCGGAAGAAUAAGCACCGGCUAACUACGUGCCAGCAGCCGCGGUAAUACGUAGGGUGCAAGCGUUAAUCGGAAUUACUGGGCGUAAAGCGUGCGCAGGCGGUUUGCUAAGACCGAUGUGAAAUCCCCGGGCUCAACCUGGGAACUGCAUUGGUGACUGGCAGGCUAGAGUAUGGCAGAGGGGGGUAGAAUUCCACGUGUAGCAGUGAAAUGCGUAGAGAUGUGGAGGAAUACCGAUGGCGAAGGCAGCCCCCUGGGCCAAAUACUGACGCUCAUGCACGAAAGCGUGGGGAGCAAACAGGAUUAGAUACCCUGGUAGUCCACGCCCUAAACGAUGUCAACUAGUUGUUGGGGAUUCAUUUCCUUAGUAACGUAGCUAACGCGUGAAGUUGACCGCCUGUGGAGUACGGUCGCAAGAUU
rnacentral:rRNA from 1 species